UCCUCAGAAAAGUUCCAAAAUCUUUACUUUUAAACCAUUUUAACUCCUUUUUUUUAUUAUUUAACCGUAAUUAUUUUUUUUCUUGUAAAACUGACUCCGUGACACUCGAGACUCUCAUUUGUUACCUGUCCAAUCCUAAGAAAAGGUUAUGGAAGACAGACACGGUCAAUUUAUAGGACCUCGCCUGUAGCAGGUAGAUCUAAAAAACAGACUACACAUAAUUGGGCAUAGAUGAAUCAGCAAACACUAUCUAUAGCUGUUUUUACACUACCCGCGCAUUUUUCUCGUGCCAUUAACCACGCAAUAUUAUGAUAUACCGAUGAAAUAUAUUUAAGAGGUGGAAACAAGCUACAAAUCUGUACCAACAUCCCAGCUCCUGUUGCCUCUUUUCUAUAACCGAGACGGUGAGGCGAACAUCGCCGUCCCGAUGUCAGAAAAGAUAAAAGAUGCCCUGUGGACGGAUGAGCACGUAUCUCUUCAUCCCCAGGGUUUUUGCCUUUAUGAUAUGAAAAAGACUAAAAAAAUGGGAACGAAGGUAGUCACGUUCUUUGAACCCCGCAUGGACAUUUCGGACGAACACAAAAGCGUCCGCUUUAUUUAUUAAGCUUAAGACGUUAAACGGAAUGCGGUGUUGUUUUCUGGUAUAAAAAUACUAGGAGUUUCUAGGUGUAAUUUUUUCCCCAUUUCCACCUUCUUCCGCUUUCCGUCUGCUUCUAAUUAUGGAAAAAAAUAUGAUAACUUUUAAAGGAGAGGCGAACUGCGCUGCGGCACGGCUGCUGAAUAAAAGUUUAUGAAAAGUGUUGAUUUUAAAGACCAGACUGAUUGACUUGCUCGCCUGUUCCAUAACCAUACAUCAUUUUGUUUACAUUUUUGUGAGUGGUAAAUUAUUUAUAAUUGAGUAUUUAAAAUAAGUUUAAAAUAAGUUAAAAAACAAUGGAAUAUAUUUCUCUAUUGUGAUGGUCACGGGGUCAAUGUACACAAAGUGAUUUAAUAAGAAAAAGUUGAAGAUCAAAAUGGCAAAAAUGUUGAACAACAUGUAAAGAACAUAUUUCUAUUAUUUUGUACUACUUCACUUGCCAAUAAAAUAGCGAGUAAAGAUAAAGAAAGUGAAAAACCAAGGAAGAAAGAUGAAGCCACCAUAUUGCACGUUCGAUUUGUUAGGUUUACGGUCUGUAUAUUUAUUCAAAUUUUGCGCCAUCUCAUGAUAACAAACCUUGGUAGUAUGUUGUGGAAAAGGGCUCGAAACAUGAAAAAAAUAUUGUUGUUGGUUAUGAUAGAUAUUUCUUUAGUUCAAAAAAGUUUAAACGAAGGUUAUAAAAAGCUGUUACUACUAUAUCAUCUUGACGUACUGGUUGUUUAUAAAGGAGUCACACCAAACAAAUUCGAAGCUAUUACAGAGUAACUUCCAUACUGAACUGGGUACAACUGGAUAAAAAUAUGAUGAGACUUGGUAGUGUUACAAAAAAGUCAAAAAAAUGAGCAAAAAAAGGGUAAUAAACAGUACGUAUCUAUUCUACAUGCAUGUAAAAUAGGAACCGCUGCAAUGUGUCAAAUGGUACUAUUACAUACGAAUUAUUCGAGUAAAAAAAAGAUGGGGGAGAAGAGAGAUGAAAGUAACCUGCAAAAACGUAUGGAUGAUUACAGCUAUCAGAAGGCAGAUUUAAUAACUAUAUUUGGAACAAAAAAAACUGUGGAAUUAAAGAUUAGACUCUUUACAUCAGAGAUUAAAAACGAAAAACCAAAGCAGAAGGUAGUUUUUAAAGCUGUACGAGGAUACGAGGAAACUAAAAAGGUAUUUCAUACAAGACUGGGCUCAACAUAAUGUGCUGUAAAGAAUCCACAUCAUUUUGCCCAAAAACUUGUUAUUUUUUA